rnacentral:tRNA from 1 species
GUUCGCAUAGCUUAACAAGGUUAAAGCACCCGACUCAUAAUCGGAUGAUUUCAGGUUCGAACCUGAUGCGAGCACCA